UACUGUUGCGUCGGCGGAGCAUAUCCGGCGGCGUCGGUGACGGGAAACAAUGGGGCAAGGCUAGGCGUCCUCUCCCCUCUCUCUCCCUGUCCCGUCUCUCCUCUGGACAGGAGCCAACAUCCCUUUCUUCAUCAGCGACGGCUGCCGCGCGCGACUGAUGGGUGGGGAGGAGAGGCAUGGUGAGAUCCCCGCAGAGCAACUGAUUUUGGCGCGGCAUAGACGACGUGCUGCUGCUCCGCGCUGCUUCUCUCCCUGAUUUCGCCACGGCGCUGCUCCCCCUUGCAGACGCCAUGCCGCUGCUCCGACCUACAGGCUCGACGCGGCUUGAUACCACUUCCGGUAACAUGCUUUGCCGAAGCAGCUGGGCAGUAUGUUUCAGAAAUGGCACGGGCACUGGAAUUGCUUGGAUUGGGUGCAUGCUUGACAGCGUCAAUAAUGGAUUGUGUGGUGAUGGGUUACCCCCAAAUUGGAGUUCUUGACUGCAUUCAGGUUUUUCUUGCCAUUGGGACUACUUUCUUGCACAUAGGUCUAGUCUUUAUAGUUAUCUCUGUGUUUCAUUUCCUUUGUUCUUAGUUUUAUUUCUGCUUAAGUACAUAUUGUUGUAAAGUGUAUAUGUGGAUUGCAUAACCCUUUCCAUCAGUUCGGACUUUUGGUUCAAGUGGUUAGUGCAUGAAGCUUAACAUGGUAUCAGAGCCUCAGGUCUCGAGUUCAAAUCCUGGUUUUCGCAACUAAGCGUAAAAAAUUGCUGUUGCCCACCUCUUUAGCCACCGCGGAUGCCCUGUUUCGGUGUGCUCUUCUUCUUUCACGUGUUGACUUUCUCUUCUCCCGUCACACGCGAGUGUGGGUGUUGUGAAGUGUAUAUGUAGAUUGCCUAACCCUUUCCAUCAGUUCGGACUUUUGGUUCAAGUGGCUAGUGCAUGAAGCUUAACACAUAUCAUGGUACUGUGACCAAAUUUAACAAGAAAUACGAUUUUCUUAGUGAAAUCUCUCGAAAGCUAAUGUUGUAAGCAUGCUUUACACUUCUAUUGCACUGGUUGCCGGAGAAUUUGCUAUCUACCUACUAUUGUUUAGUUUGGUAGUUCAGAAGAAGGCCGUACAAGCCAAGGUGAGCAAAUUUUAUGGGGAAUGAGAACAAUUUUCAUUAUUGACACAGAGGAAAAUUACAAUGUUUGAAAAUAUAAAGAUGUUCCAGGUAUAGGAAGUUCAUUACUGGUAAACUCAUGAUUCUCUUGGGUUUCUGAGAUGAAUGCCUUUUUUCCUGCAAGGUGCACAUGCUCCAAAUUAAUGGAGGGCAUGAUUCAAUUAUGUCCACCGCACUAAAUGUUUUGAGGAAAGGGAAAGAAUUAUUCAAUUAUGUACCACUGCACUGAUAGUUUGAACUGCUAGGACUUCCCACCACUUACUGAUAUAGGGGUUAGGAACCAAAUUCUAAUGUUUUAUGCUUGAACUUAGAACUAUUUUCAUGUCCAGCUGAUAUAGGAGGUACUGGUAUUCUAUUUAAUUGUUUAUGGCAUUCAGAUAAAUACCUGAAGGGAGUGUGCGGCCUUACAAAGGAAGUUUCUUCAAGAUAUAUGUUUUAGUGCAUUUGUUAAACAUGAAAACCUCUUGAGAUGGUGAGGGGACGCAAUAUAGUGUCAACUGAGUGCAUCAUUGGCCAAAGUUGCAUCCGAUGUUCUUACACAUUAUAAUAUUUGAUGACAUGAAGUGUUAUGCAAAGUACUAAAGUUUUUUUUUUUUUUGCGAAUAUGCAAAGUACUAAAGUUGGUCCUUUCUAUUGAGCAUAACAAGAACUCACUUCCAAAUAAUUAUGUUUUAGGAUUGCGUCCUUUUCUUCCCUACAUGAUUAGAAGUAUUUCAUUGGUAGCAUGACUAUAGGAAACAUCUGGCGAAGCUAUGUUGUUUUCAACACUGUAAUAUGAUUUGUUAGUGUUUUUGACAUAUUAAAAAAAUGAUGCUUUUUGCAUAAUAAAAUGAAUUAUUGGGAGUGCUAACUUGCAACGUCGGGAGAGAACAUUGCGUAUGGUCACAAACAUGUGCUAAUGUUCCGUCCAUCAUCACUGUGCAUAUUUUCAAAGAACCAGUGCAUUCCGUCGAACAACAGUCUUCUACAGGUCAGGUCACAUGUAUGAAGCUGGCUGAUAGGACGAUUAAAUUGCUAGAUUAAUUGUUUAGAGUUAGAGAGUGCAUUUGUAUGUAAAGAAUUCGCCUUCACAACUCUUAAGUGCUUUUUGUUCUUCCUUGUAAUUUUGACAAUGUACAAUUUCAAGGUUCUCUUGUUUGUUCUGCUUUUAGGUUGCUCGCGGAAAGGAAGCAUCUUUGCUACGCAUUUCAACAAGAUGCUGGCGCCAGAUUCUCCAGAUAAUCGGGGGAGAAAAAUGUCAAAUUUCUUCCGGGCCUUCAGCGAGAAUGUUGAGCUGCAGCAGGUUACACUAUCACAGAUUCAAAGCUUAUACCAUCAAAGUCACAUCCCAAAAUUCCAAACGAUCAAGACCACUGUCACCGGCGCUCCGUGCUCCCUUCCUCUUGCAGCACUUGGACUCCAUCGGCACUGAGCCUCUCUGAGCUGGCCACAGGCACUGGAACUAGGUUCGGUGGACGGUGUCUUGUAGGCUGCUCUUCGCCAGCUCACUCCUGAAACAUGUUUUGCUGCAUGAGCCAUGUUCAUGCAUGAAUACUAUUUUUAUCAUUUUGGUACACCCGUCCUAUUUGGAUUUCAGCUUGUUCAAUUAUUCGCCCAUGUUGUUUCCUUCCCUCACUCGACAAGUCAGGUUCACUACUAUUUGUGCAAAAUAACUGCUACAAUUUCAUCAGCAACCAGCAAAAUGUAGAUCUCUUCUCUAUGAUUGUCAAGUGUGCUGCAUAUUUAUCUUAACUAUGGUUGGAUGCUUCUUUGUUGUGAUCUCAGUCUCAUAUCUUUUAUAUAUGCAUAGGACUGGUGUUAAUUAAGCUGGUUGUUUAAGUUAUCUGCACCUGAUUGCUCAUUGACUAUAACUAACUAUAACAGUUGGGAAAUUGUAUUUUGUCCUCCGGUCAGCUAUGUAGAUCGCAGUUGGUGAGAAAGCAUGAGGCGAUAGAGAACACUCGGCUGCUGGCAAAGGGCUGGAGCAGAAGCCAUGGACAGUGACACUAAAAACACAGGCGUGUUACUCCCAACUAGGUAAUAAAUCAAAACAUUCACGAGUGUACUUCUUUUCAAUGAAAAGCACGAGUGUGCUGCAAUGGCCACAUCGUGUAUCUACGGUGAAACAACGCAACGCUUGUGUCUUCGAGGGCGAGCGGCCCUCGGUCUCUGGCACAUGCGAUAAGAUCCGGGCAGAAGCUACCAUCUGGGCUAGGGCGGGGGCGUUAGGUCUGCGUGCCGUGCUGCCAGUAGAUUGGGAUGUCCACUGAACUUAUGUCAUACCUUGCCCUGUAACACACCUCCCUUGUGAGUUGUGAUCUUGUAACACCAUCCUUCUUUGCAAUGAAAUGAAACUCAAUGUCAUUGCG